rnacentral:rRNA from 1 species
UAGGGAAUCUUCCGCAAUGGACGCAAGUCUGACGGAGCAACGCCGCGUGAGUGAAGAAGGUUUUCGGAUCGUAAAACUCUGUUGUAAGAGAAGAACAAAUUGUAGAGUAACUGCUACAAUCUUGACGGUAUCUUACCAGAAAGCCACGGCUAACUACGUGCCAGCAGCCGCGGUAAUACGUAGGUGGCAAGCGUUGUCCGGAUUUAUUGGGCGUAAAGGGGGCGCAGGCUGCUUCUUAAGUCUGAUGUGAAAGCCCACGGCUUAACCGUGGAAGUGCAUUGGAAACUGGGAAGCUUGAGUACAGAAGAGGAAAGUGGAACUCCAUGUGUAGCGGUGGAAUGCGUAGAUAUAUGGAAGAACACCAGUGGCGAAAGCGACUUUCUGGUCUGUCACUGACGCUGAGGCCCGAAAGCGUGGGUAGCAAACAGG